CAUGGCCAUGAGGUAUCGUUUUCACUCGGCUUGCUAACAAAGGGACGAACAAAGCGAUUGUAGUCAUUGGAAGAGGCUAAGUACUUGUUGUUGUAGCAACAUUUAAUGUGCCAAUAUUUACCAUUCUUGUCGGGCUCAAUCUCGAACUUUGUAAACGGGGUCAAAGCUUGAUCAGAAGAGAAGUAUAGAUUGCCCUUAAAAAAACCAUGGGUAAGGUAUUGAAGGUACUUCCUUUCUGUGUGGUUCUGAAAUCCUACAUACUUAGGGAGAAACGACAUUAUUAUAGAUAUGAUCAACAGAUACAAAGAGAGAGAGAGAGAUGAGCUUGAGUGUACGUGUAUGUAUGUAUAAGUUUUCUUCUUCUUAAUUACACACUUAAUUCUCUAAGGUGUGAGUACUAAUACCCAAUAUCCAAACCUCUUCUCUUUAUAUAUACAUGUAUGGAUAACUAAUAUUAACUAUUAUCUUCUGCAUGAUCGUAGGACGAUACAUCACUUAUAAUAUGGAUAACAAGGAAUCCUUACUUUACUUUUUUUCUUUAUUGACUAAAUAAUUUAAACUUUAUACUUUGUGUCAAUCAAAAAUAUCUCUCAACCCUAAAUAUAUAUAUUUUUAAAAAUAAUUUAAAGCAGCAUUUUCAAAAAUAGCAAAAUAAAAUAAAAUAUUUACAAGCUAUAACAAAAUUUUAGAUUUUAUGAGUGAUAAAAAUGUAGCAUAUCAAUGAUUAUCAGUUAUAGAAUUGAUUGUAAAUAUUUUGUAAAAUCUACUGCUUUUUUAAAUUUCCCUAAUUUAAAAGUAUUUACAUUGCAUUGCACAUGUUAUGUAAAAAGAAAAUAUUUAAAAGUUGUAGAUUCAUGGUACGGUGAUAGAAAACUACUAGCUAUAGAAUCCAAGAUUUUGCUAUAGUUUUUAAAUAUUUUAAUUAAUUUAUUUUGCUAUUUUAAAAAAUAGUCAUAAGACCAUAAAUUAGUUAUUUAAGAUUUUUUUCGAAAACUCAUUCUUAUGUUUUAGAUUUGGGAAAUUGUCAAAUAUUCAUUUACACUUUAUAGAAAAAUAAAAUUGAAUCACUCUCGAGAAAAUAUAAUUUUUGUUUGUUUUUUUGGAUGAAGUGAAAAUAGUUUGUCAAAUUUUUUUAUAUUUUUUUAAAAAAAUUGAAGAUUUGGUUAGCUUAAAUUAUUAUUUAUUAUUAAAAACCAUUAUAUAUAUUUUAAAAUUUUGUGAAUAUUUAGAAAUCUAAUUUUUUUAAAAACAUUGUUCACUUUUGGUUGUAGUGAAUAUAUAUCAAAAUCUAUUAGAUUUUCAAAAAAAAAUUAUCUCCAACCUAAUAUCUAUUAUUAUUUUCUAAAAAUUGUUCCGAUAGAAAUAUAUAAAAAAAUAUUAAUUUUUAUAUGUGGUGAUAGACUCUUAUCGCUGAUAUAGUCUAUAUUAUUGAUAGAUUUCCAAAUAUUGAUCUAAAUUUUGUUAUAUCAAAAAAGAAAAAAUAAAAACCAAAGUUUUUUACUACCGACACCUUUUUCCACUCUCCAACACUAGAGUCACCCACCUUUCUACAACAUAAUGGAUGUGAGACAAACACUUUUAAUAUUUUGCCAAAAAUUCUUACAAAAAUGAUAUUUUCAGUACGUGGAACCCUCCGUUUAAAAUUUGCAGAACUAGGAAGAUUUAGAAAAAGUCGUUUUAGAAAAGAGGUUAAUAUAAUUGCUAACCUGAGUAGUUAUCUCAAGGACAAGAGAUCUCGAAUUCAAAUCUUUCCACGCUUCCGUAUUGUAUUAUUUAAACAUAUCUUUAAAAAAACUUAAUUAAUUUGUAACCUAAAAAUAAAUAACAUUAUCUUUUUGUUUUCUUUUCAUACGAAGAUUAUAUUGCUGCUUAAGAACAAUAUACUUUACUAAAUUCUUUUGUUUGAGCAGACUAGAACAUACUGAUAUAUUCCAUGUUUCACAUUGUUGAACGACUUUAACUUUUACAUUCAUACAACUUUUGUACGAGCAUCUUAUUUUUGUUUCGAGUCAUUGACAUUCAACCUCGCCAGUUCCAAAAUAUGGGGCUGUUUAUUAAUUCUCUCUCUUUAGUUAGGAGGGUCUCUAUCUCUAAAUAAAAAGUUGUUUAAAUAAUUGAUCCUCAAUCUGCUUUUAAUAUACAUGUUAUUGACCAAGGUUAUAUAAAUGUUAUUAGUACAUAUUAAUCAAGAGUUCAAAAAUGUUAUGUAUUUUUUUCUUAAACUAAUAUUAUUUAAGGUAAUGUGAUCCCAAACCUUAAGUUACUUAAUGAAGCAAUGAAGAAGAAUAUAGCUAAAUAUAGUAGAUGCCUUUAUCUUUCUUUCUUUGAUCAUUUCGUCUUCAUCUUAUUCCAUUGCUAGAUUAGAUCUUGUUGAACUUAUAUCUAAUACCAUAAAUCUUUCUUCAUUUAUGCUUGAAUUAUUAAACUACAUUCUAUUUCCUUACCCGAACUUUGAAUACUUUAAAGAAAAAUAUUUAAAAAAGUAGAUUUUACAAAAUAUUUACGAACAUAUACCAAAUUCUAUCAUAUCAGUCAUAGAAUCUAAAAUUUUGCUAGUAAAUACUUUAUUUUAUUUUGUUAUUUUUAAAAAUGUUUUAUAUAUAAAACAUCGAUAUAAAAACAGUAAAAAGACUUUUAAAGACAGAUUUGUCCGGUUUUAAAUUAAAUGUAUUGAAUUAAAAAAUUAUUAGGUAAAUUGAUUUUUAAAAAGAGAAAUUUUUAGAAAUAGUAGAUUUUACAAAAUAUUUACAACUUAUAGCAAAUUCUAUCACUGAUAGUCAUUGAUAUGCUAUCGUGAUAGAAGACUAUCAUUGAUGGAAUCUAAAAUUUUGGUAUAGCUUGUAAAUAUUUUAAUUUAUUUUGCUAUUUUAAAAAAUGUUCCUCCCCAACCUAAAAGUUUUGUUUAAUUAAAUAAUUAGAGUAAUAAUAAGAAUUUAGCUUUAAUGAUUGGAAUAAAAAAACGGUUAAUAACUAAUUGAGUCCAAACUUACCGUAUAAACACACACAAGAUUGAAGAUCGAAAAUUGCUCGAAGAUGAAGAUGAAAAUUGAAAUUGUUCAUAGUAAAACAUUAUUUGUUAAUUUAUAAUUUUUUUUGUUAUAGUUUAUACUGUUUUUUUUGUUAAUAAUUCAACCGUUUAUAAUAUUUUUUGUGCAUAGAAACGUACAAAACUUUAUUUUCAUAAACUUUUAAUUUAUCCAAAAAAAAAUGAGAUGUGUUAUUUUGAUUUAAUUAUUUAGUUCAUUUUCUAUAAGAUAGAUGAAAAAAGGUGUGAUUAAUAAAGUUAGAAGUUUUUCUAAAAUCGUGAAUAAAAGUAAUUACAAUUGUUUACAAAUUUAAUUAUAUUAUAGCAAAUCAAAAAUAAAAAUAGAAAACCUGUUAGCAUUUAAAAUUUUAUAGUUUGUUACAUUUAUUAUAUAAAUGUGUUUGAAAUCGUAUUCAAAUAUACAUUUUCUUUCACAGAAAUUUGUUCAAAAUAAUAUUAUGUAGAUUUAUUGUAGCAGAGAUUUAUAGAGAAAAUGUCAAUAAAGCUGAUAAAUAAAAAAAGGGAUAAAAGUUCUAUUUUUUAAAAAAUGGAUCAUACUCGUUCACCCAUCGUUGUAUUGCAUAAAUUUACGAGCAUUUCCAAUCUUAUAAGUAUUUUUUUGAAGACUAAAUGUACAAUUGUAUUGAUACAAAAGCAUACAUGUAUGGUAAUACUUAGUGAAUUAAAAUUAUAGUUAUAAUACAUUGUGUGGACAUUUAAUUUUUUUUUAAGGAAAGGAGAAAUCUAAUUAGUAAUUUAAGAUAAUUAUCCAAAAUUAUAUAACUGUGAAUGCUUUGUAAUUAAAAUAAUAAAUAAAUUAGUUAUUUUCUAAUAUCAAAAUAAACUAAAAUAUUUAAAGUAUAGGAAAGUAUCACUUAUAGGUGUUGAUAGAUACAAUAAAUUUAUGAAUGUUUAUCAUUGAUUUACUAUGAAAAUUCUCUUAUAAUUAAAAAUAAUUUCAACCAUUUUAUUAUUGGGACACUUGCAAAAAUGACAAAACAAGUUAUAAUAAUUAAGUCCAUAACACACAAGUUUUAUUAUUUUCGAAGAUGGCAAAAACGAAGUCCAACCCACACAUCAAGAGGUAAAAUAUCACUAAUGUCUUUGUUACUAAUAUACAUCUGAUACACCUUAUACACGUCUGAUACACCUAAUACACCCCUUGAUACACCUAAUAUACCCCUUGAUACACCUGAUACUUCUUGAUACACCCGAUAUAUUUGAUUGAUACACUUGAUGCACCUAAUACUUUUUGAUACAUUCGAUACCUUUUGAUACACACCUGAAACAUUACUAAUAUAUGUUUGAUACACUGCAGAUACAUUUAGUAUUCUUCACUUAUACAAUUGAUUGAUUAAAUGCACUUGAUAUGCUUGAAGUCCUACUUAUAUACUUGAUAUAAUAUUGAUAUACACUUGUAAACUUGAUUCAUAUACUUGAUAAUGAUUCACUUUACUAAUAUGUUUUAACAAUAUAUUGUUAAUAUACUUGAUAAUGAUACACUGAGUUACAUCAUUCAUAUACUUAAUAAUACUCUAACGAACUACGUAAAGUUUGAAAAAACGAAAAUCAUGUAGUAAGUAUAUUAACCAACUAAUACAUAUAAUAUAAGUAUAUCACAACACUAUAUACGAAACUGAGAAAAAGUAAAACAAAAAAAUUAAUGUAAAAAAAUAAAACAAAAUCAUUUGGAAUCUAAUUCAACUCAAAAUACAUAUCGAAGGAAGUAAAAAAAAAAUCACAAAUGAAGUUAAUUACUCCGAUCAACAACCAUUAUAUUAUAUUUCAUAUUGCAAUUAUUGUACUAUUGAUAUUUUAAAAUUAAGAUUAAGACAAAAAGAAUAAAUUAUUUUUUUAGUAUAAGAAUAAACAAAUAAUUAGGGUCUUAGAAAGUGAGAGAAUAAAUAAAUAAUAAGUAGACAUUAAAUAGAGGAAGAGAAAUAAGUUAUUGAACGGUAAUUUAGGAAUAAUAACAAACUUAAGAUGAAGAAGUAAAAAUUUUGCCAUAUUUACAAAAUUCUAAAACAAUGUGCUAUAAUUGCUAUAUUAUAUUCUCGAAAUGUUAUCAUAAGGAAUUUUUAAAUAUUAUUUACAACUAUUUUUUAAAAUUAUAAUAUAUUACUUAUUUGUAAAUUCCCACCUAAAAGUUAACAUAGCUAGAUUAGGAGAUGAUUGCAAAUAUGAUUUUAGCAUUAUGGUUAUAAAAAUUUGAAGCAUACAUUUACAAAAUCACCAACUUUAUGUGUGUAUAUAUAUAUGACAAAUUAUGUGCAAUAGAAUCUUUAGAAUUUGAGUCUAAAAUCAAAAAUUUAUAAUAUAUAUGUGUGUAAAUUUUAAAAUAACUAAAUAUGCAUCUCAACUUCAAAUAUAUAUAUGUGACACAUAGAUAAAAUAUAUAUGUUAAUAGAAAAGAGAUUAGAAUUAAAAUAUGUAUAAUUUUUAGUAUUAUCUUUUUUUGCAUUGAACUGCAUUAUUUGUUAGGUAAUACUUUUUGUAGCAUAGUAAUAAGAUAGAUCACAUUUUGAUUUAUUAAAAGCUUUAUCCAACACAACAGAUAAAGCUAUACACACACUCAAGAGUAAGUAAAAGAAAAAUUAAGAAACACAAACACAAAUGACAUAAUAGUGGAUGAUGGAUAAUAUAGUGUGGUAUAGUGAUGAUGAAUUAUAUAAAUCAGAGAGGAAGAGGCUUGUUUUGAUAAUCAAACUUAAAGGUAUAGACUCCAGUGUAAAGGCCAUCAUCAUACUCUGUCUCAACUCUUCUUCCAUUUCGGAGAAGAUCUCGUUGCGUGUACGAAAACGGAAUAUCACAUUUGGCCUUAGUUGCAAGAAGAGUAACUUUCAUCCUUGUGUUUGGUGGUACAGGAACAGUAUAUGUUGCCGUUACUUCUCUACUUUCUGAAAUAGUUUCUCCCCAUGUGUAACUCGCUUCAAAAUUGUAGCUGACUUUAAUCUCAGUAUCUAAAAUUUCAGGAAUCCCAGCUUUAAUGGAAGUCUCUAUACCCACACCUACGGUGAGUGAAGAUUCCCAAGUUUUGGAUUUUUCUUCGAGGUACCUCAAACUUACAGCCAUAACCGUCUCCUUCGAGCUCGAGUUAACAGCCUCCUCCGUUGCCAUUGUUAGUACCUGUUCAUCGUAUAUCUUUGCAUCCAUAGUCCGAUACCGAAUAUUGUAGAUUUCCCUUGAAAUAAUUGGCUCAACGAUCUCCAAUUCUGCCUCCUUAGUGAUAGUUUCACUACUAGCAUUCAGAAAAUCCACCUUACCAUCACCAGUGUAUCUCGUAACAAACCUGCCAUUGGCAACGUUUCGAAGUGCGACUUUGUUUUUAGCAAUCUUGACGGGCCAGAACAAGGUGUUCUUGUCGUUCUUCGUCUGGUCGUUUGAGUCAGCCAGGAUCCAGUUUGGGUCACGUCUCCAAAACUUCUUCGUAGAUUCGUUCUUGAUUCUAACAGUUCCAUCACCAACGUUGAAAAUUUCGUGGCUCACCUGAGGGUUUCCAAUGUCAUUGGCAUUGAACUGCAGAUAUGGGGAAUUACGAUACGUAUAGGUAGCGAGAAACUUGUCAUUGUUCUUAAAGGAGAGGUAUUUAGGGAGUCGGAUGAUGUUUUCAAAGUCGACUAGCACAACUAAUUUGUCGUCGUGUCGUUUUUCAUCGCGUCUAUAUCUAGUUGUGAGAACAUCAGGAUGAAUUCUGCUACUGGUACAUCGACGUGCAUAGGUUUGAAGCAAGACAUCAAAUAAAUAGUAAGUCCCUGUAGUAGGACCAGGGAUGAAAUUAAACAAUGUGCAUGGCCAUGAGGAUUCAUUUUCACUCGGCUUGCUAACGAAGGGAGUAACGAAGCGAUUGUGGUCGUUGGAAGAGGCCAAGUACUUGUCGUUGUAGCAACAUUUUAUGUGCCAAUAUUUACCAUCCUUGUCGGGCACAAUCUCAAACUUUGUAAAUGGGGUCAAAGCUUGAUCGGAAGAGUAUUGUAGGUUACCCCUAAGAAAACCAUCAGAAAGGUAUUGAAGGUACUUUCCUUCUACGUGGUUCUGGAAUCCUGCAUAUUUGGGGAGAAACGACAUUGUUAACGGAGAGAGAUGGUAAAUAUGAGUUUUCUUCUUCUCAAUUACACACUUCUCAAGGUGGUGAGGAACUGAUGCCCAGUCCCCAAACCUCUUCUCUUUAUAUACAUAUAUGGAUAACUAAUAUUAAUUAUUAUAUUUUGCAUGAAUGGGACGAUACAUCGCUUAUAUGGAUAAAUCAGAAUAUAUACUUACUUCACUUUUUUGUUUGUUGACUAGAUAAUCUCAACUUUUUACUUUGUGUCAUUCAUAAAUAUCUCUAAAGUACCGUAAAAAAGUUCAAAAAAAUAAUCUUGCUGCUUUUUAGUGUGUCCAAAAGUUUUCGAUUUUUUUAGUUGUAGUAUUUCUUCUAUACCGCUUAGUUUUUUAGUUGUAGUAUUACUUCUAUACCGCUUAGUUACUUACGUGUGUUUUUAUAAUCUGUGCAUAACUUUUCGAGUUUCUUUCUAGCAUGUUUUGUACUUUUCCAUUGAUUAUUGAUAUCGUAUUUGGUCUUAAGAUGGAAUGAAGGGUGUUAUAGAGAUGUUAACCGAGUUGAAAUAUCUUGGUAUAUUCCAUGAUCCCUCUCUCUAGUUGGAUACUAAGUGCAUUGUAGUACAAUUUAAAAAGAUAACUUAAAUAUAAAUGGUUAAUAAAAUAACUCGUGAAAUUAAAAAAAAAUCAUUAAAAAAAUGAGUUAUUUAUAAAAGAAAAUUAAAAAGAAUCUUUUGAAUAAAAUAAUAACAAGAUUUGAAAUCAAAAUAUUUGUGUACUAUUAUAUGUUAAAUAUAUUAUCACAUAUUAAAUAAAAUAUAAUAUUUUAUGAUAGCAAAUUAAGUAUGAUUAAGUGUUUGUAUUUACAUCUAUGGAUAUAACUAUUAUUUUGGAAAGUUAGUGUAAUACGUAAUUAAGGGUGGAGGGAUAGUUUGAACCCACGGGGAUACACGUUCCUGUAUUAUUGUUAUUGUUAUUAAUUUAAAUAAGUCAAUCAACUAGCAAUGGAAUAAUUAAGAUCAAAAGGAAAUGAUGAAAGAAGGAUAAAGGCAUCCAUCAACUCAAUAAACUUAAAAGAAAUGCUCGUAUAAAAAGUUAAAGUCAUUAAACAGUGUGGAAUAUGAUUGAUUCGUAUAGAGUUGAUGGAUGCAAAGAUAUAGAGAACCAAUCAGCUUAUCUAUAGGUUUUGAUGGUUACACACUGCAAAAUUAAUUUUCACUAACCAAAAUGUUGCAAAUUUUUAAGUAUUAGAAAUAUAUUAUUAUAUACUUUUAAGUUUAUUCAUUUUGUAGUUGGAGAGAAUGGAAAAAAAAAAGUGAGUAGUCAAUAAAGUUUUGGGAGAUUUUUUUUUUAAUUACUGUGUUUUUGUUAGCUUUUUGUUUUCUAUUUUUUGUUUUUCUUUCAGUUAUUAUAUCGUUAAUUUUUUUUGAAAUAUACAAAAAAAAAAAAAAAACUAAAAUAUUUACAAAAUCAAAUUAAAAAGUCCAUGAACCCAACCGUAUAUUUCUUUUAUAAAAUAUUUCAUGUUUGUCUAGCCACUUUCAUUCUACUUUUCUAUCUUCUCUUCGGAUCUAUGUUUCCAAUCAAUCAUAAAUUUUGUAUUUUUUUUUCCAAAGUGUUAUUUGAUUCAAGAUCGUGUACCAAGGUACACAAUCUUGAACAAAAAUCUUUGAGAUAUUGGUACAUGAUAACUUAGAUUUAGCUACACGAUCGUGUAACAAAUCUAAAAGAUAUUGGUACAAGAUCGUGUGCCAAAUAUAAAAUAUAUUGAAAAAAAUCGUUCGAAUAUUGGUGUCGUCACGUGCACGAGACGACACAGAGAGACCGACAUCCUAACAAUGUGUUAGUUUUAAAACAAAAUAAAAAAAAAAAAAAGUUGCCACCAAUUUUUUUUACGAGGUGAUUGAACACCAAAAUAAAAUAAACAAAAUUUAAAUAAAAUCAUAAAAAAAUGGUUGACAAACAUUAGACUUGAGUUUGUGAGUCAAUUGUGCAUGAGGAAAGUGUCACACCCAAAACACCCAUUCAGAAAACGGUGGCAAAAUUGUAAAUAUUGAAUUGAAAAUAUUCUUUAAUUUCUUUUAAAAUUAAUAUCUUAUUUUACCCCCGACUACUCUCAUAUUUGAAGUAACGAUCUCAUAAAAUAAGUGGAAAGCAUUCCACCACACUAUAUUCAUGAAAAAAAAUUUCUCAUCCUCAAAAAUUAGUACAAUUUCUCAAAAUCUAUCCUAGGCAUUGUCUUCUAAUUAUAAAGUGAUUUUUUUCUAGGACAUUAAUUAAAAGUAAUUUUUCUUGGAUCAAAUCUCGAACUCCCAAAAAUUCCAAGAGUUUUAUGAUUUUGUUUAAGAAAAACGGUAUAAGUUAUUAUAAAAGAUUGAUUAGAAAAUUUUAUGAAAUCACAAAUUAAAUUUUGAAGGUUCGAACAACAUAAAAAAAAAAUGAUAACUUGAAAAGAUUUUUUUUUUUCUAAAAUCACUUUUAGAAAAAGAGUUUUGUGAAAGAUUUUUAAACCUAUAAAAAUUUAAAGUAGAAGGAUUUUAAAAUAUUGAAAAUUUUAAAUAGAAAGAUAUAUCAAUUUUGAAUGGAAAUGAAAAUGAGGCUUAAUAGAAAAAUUAGAUAAGUAAAAACAAAAGUAAAGAAACGUCAUAAUAAAUUAAGCAAACAUAUUAAAAUAGCUUAAUGAGAUUUUAGUAAAAACAUUGUUGAGCAAGAAAUUUCGGCCAAUUAAAUUCUGCCACAUCAUCCCAACAAAUAUUUGUCAAAUAAGUAGAUUAGCCAAGUCUAAGCUCAACAAGUAGAUGGGCCUAAGCCCAAUAAAGCAAAUGGGCCCAAGCUCAAGUUUAAGCUUAAGUCCAAGCCCAACAGCCCCACAAGCAAAUGAGUCCAAGCCCACCUAAAGCCCACAAAUUUUCUCUAUAAAUAGAAACCUUUGUCAUUCAUUUGAGAGGUCUUUUUUGUUGAAGGAAGAAUUGAAGCUCUGAAGUACUGAAAUUGUGAAGAAUUGAAGAUUCAAACUUCUAUAAAAAAUUGAAGAUUCAAACUUCUAUAAAAAAUUGAAGAUUCAAACUUCUAUAAAGCUCUCAAGACGUGCAAGUUCUUAUCAACUUCGAGAUCAUCAUCUUCUGAAAGAUUGAAGACUUGGAAGAUCAAACUUUCCUUGAAUUCCAGAAGAUUGAAGCUUAAAUAGACUUGCAACUACAACAUCCUAAAGACCGAAGAUCAAUAAAUUCUAAAUUUUUAACUUGUAUUCGAGAGAAAGCAUCAAAUGAGUAAAUACUAGAGAUUGUAUUUACAAUAUUCAUCAAUAUACAAAUUUCAAUUCCCCGAAAUACAUUUUUUCGAAAUCUCGUGUGAACAAACAUAUUGGAGAUCGACCUCAAACUUUCAAAUAAUCGAUUUUCUCAUCUCAAGAAUUCUAGAAAAACGAACUCUCUAAUUUUUUAGAUUCCAUCGUUGAGUGUUUUUUAAAAGAAAACUAAUUAAAAAUAUUAAAAUAUUAAACAGCGAAAAUGUAAAAUAAACAAUAAUCUAUAAAUAAAAUAAAAUAUAAUGCAAAACUAUUAGAAAAAGAAAGAAGAAAGUAAGAAUAAAUAAUGAUUAAAAAAAUUGAUAAACAAGGUAUGAAAUAACGUACAUCAACAAAUAAAUUUAUUAUAUAAAAAAGAAAAUGUAGAAAUAAGGUAAUAAAGAAAUAAUUAUAAGAGUAGAAAAAUGGAGAAAUAAGAAUUAGAAAAAUAAACAAAUAUGGAGAGAAAAAAUAAACGUAUAUAAAAAUAAGAAAAUAUUAAAAAAACAAUAAUCAACUUUAUGAAAAGAGAAUAAAAGAACUAGAUAUAAAAUGCUAAUUAAAAAGAAAUAAAUAUAAUAUAGAAAGAAGAAGAAGAUAUACAACAAAAUGUAUAAUAAAAAAAAUUAUAUAUAAAAGAGAAGUUCAAAAGAUAAUAUAAAAAAAAAUAGGAAAAUUAGAAAAACAAUAACUAAAAAAUACAAAAGAAAAAAUUAAAAAAAAAGAAUUAAAACAAUGAACCCUCUUGCUGUUUAAAGCGUAGAUUAUUGAGAAUUAAAUCAUACCAUACACAUCUAAUGAUUAAGUUAGAGAUUUUACUGUAUGUUGGUUUUUCGACACUUUUAGAAAAAUAUGAUAUUUAGGGGUUUGUUACGCGAGAAAACAAAAUAGAUGUUGUAGAUUUUUGUUUCUUAAAGAAGAGAUUAAGGGUAAGAGAAGUAGUGACUAUGAAAGUUAGAGGUUUUGAUGAAGAAGAGAGAACGGUACCGAUAUCUCUAGGGUUUUUUUUGUGUGACCUUCUCCAUUGGUGGUGUUUUUUUCAUGAAAGAAGAAUAAGAGAAUAUUUAUAUAUAGCAAAAAAUAAAAAAGCUUAUUCAAAAAGGCUAAAUAUUUCAAAAUUAUUUCUCCACGUAACUUAAUUAUGCUAAUUAAUUGAUUUAGUUAUUCUAAUGACCAAGCAACCACAUAACACAUAACUUUUAAAAUGAGAGGAUCUAAAUUUCUAUUAUAUCACACUGCAUUUGCUAAUACUUUUAAGUCUUACAGAGUGGCAUAGUAAUAAGAUAGAUAUUUUUAUUUAUUUCAAGCUUUAUCAAAGACAAGUGAUAAUAAAGCUACACACUCAAAAGUCAAAAGAAAAGUUAAGAAACACACAAGAUGACAUAGUGGACGAUGGAUACAGUGGUAAGCGGUAUGGUGAUGGUGAAUUAUUUAGAAUGAAGAGGGUAAGGCUUGUUUUGAUAAUCAAACUUAAAGGUAUAGACUCCAGUGUAAAGACCAUCAUCACACUCUAUCUCAACUCUUCUUCCGUUUCGGAGAAGAUCUCGUUGCGUGUACGAAAACGGAAUAUCACAUUUGGCCUUUGUUGCAAGAAGAGUAACUUUCAUCCUUGUGUUUGGUGGUACAGGAACAGUAUAUGUUGCCGUUACUUCUCUACUUUCUGAAAUAGUUUCUCCCCAUGUGUAAUUCGCUUCAAAAUUGUAGCUGACUUUAAUCUCAGCAUCUAAAAUUUCAGGAAUCCCAGCUUUAAUGGAAGUCUCUAUACCCACACCUACGGUGAGUGAAGAUUCCCAAGUUUUGGAUUUUUCUUCUAGGUACUUCAAACUUACAGCCAUAACCGUCUCCUUCGAGCUCGAGUUAACAGCCUCCUCCGUUGCCAUUGUUAGUACCUGUUCAUCGUAUAUCUUUGCAUCCAUAGUCCGGUACCGAAUAUUGUAGAUUUCCCUUGAAAUAAUUGGCUCAACGAUCUCCAAUUCUGCCUCUUUAGUGAUAGUUUCACUACUAGCGUUCAGAAAAUCCACCUUACCAUCACCAGUGUAUCUCGUAACGAACCUGCCAUUGGCAACGUUUCGAAGCGCGACUUUGUUUUUAGCAAUCUUGACUGGCCAGAACAAGGUGUUCUUAUCGUUCUUCGUCUGGUCGUUUGAGUCAGCCAGGAUCCAGUUUGGGUCACGUCUCCAAAACUUCUUCGUAGAUUCGUUCUUGAUUUUAACAGUUCCAUCGCCGACGUUGAAAAUUUCAUGGCUCACCUGAGGGUUUCCAAUGUCGUUGGCAUUGAACUGCAGAUAUGGGGAAUUACGAUACGUAUAGGCAGCGAGAAACUUGUCAUUGUUCUUAAAGGAGAGGUAUUUGGGGAGUCGAAUGAUGUUUUCAAAGUCGACUAGCACAACUAAUUUGUCGUCGUGUCGUUUUUCAUCUCGUCUAUAUCUAGUUGUGAGAACAUCGGGAUGAAUUCUGCUACUGGUACAUCGACGUGCAUAGGUUUGAAGCAAGACAUCAAAUAAAUAGUAAGUCCCUGUAGUAGGACCAGGGAUGAAAUUAAACAAUGUGCAUGGCGAUGAGGAUUCGUUUUCACUCGGCUUGCUAACGAAGGGAGUAACGAAGCGAUUGUGGUCGUUGGAAGAGGCCAAGUACUUGUCGUUGUAGCAACAUUUUAUGUGCCAAUAUUUACCAUCCUUGUCGGGCACAAUCUCGAACUUUGUAAAUGGAGUCAAAGCUUGAUCAGAAGAGUAUUGUAGGUUACCGAAAAGAAAACCAUCAGAAAGGUAUUGAAGGUACUUUCCUUCUGUGUGGUUCUGGAAUCCUGCAAACUUAGGAAGAAACGACAUUAUUAACCGAGAGAGAUGGUAAAUAUGGGUUUUCGUCUUCUUAAUUACACACUUCUGA
rnacentral:lncRNA from 1 species